CGAAGAAUGGGUAUACCACUUCAUCUAUAUAUCCUGGCAAUUUCUUUGUUUCAUCUACUGUGUACUCAAAGAGUUAACUGUGACAAUUCAGGUAUGUUUCUUGCAAAGGCACUUGGACUGAAAACACUCUCCUUCGCAGAGCCAUAUAGUUAAACACCUUAGGUAAACGCAAAGACUAGCUAUAGUGUUCACCAAUCAGAUGAAUGCCAUACAUUUUCCGGGUAUACCUAGAUUUCGUGUUUAUUUAUACGGCUGUGGAGAAGAGUGGACUGAAAAUAUAAAAAUCUGAAUAAAUCGCUUUUUAACAGUGUCAAAUAUUGAUUUCAGAAUACUUGACAAUUUAUUCAGCGGGAAACAUAGUCACUUAGAAUUUCAUAUUAGAAUAAAGUUCAGCAUUUGAACGAACAUAAUACUAUACUCGCCCCUGGCGGAGCCAGUGUUUGUUUUGCAUAUAAGUGUUGAACCCAAUCAAUAGGCAUGCCAAUAAAUUGCCCAUAUAAGGAAGGGUAUAAUAUAUAAUGGAAGGAUUUAAUAUAUAUAUAAAUGCAAAUACUGCUACAUCAAGAAAAGCGAUACAUCGGGGCAGAUCUCGCACAGCGGUCUGUAGUGUUGGCUUUUGCGGGAUUCCAUAUACAACAAGAAACAACGUUAGCAUCCUGACAGUUCAGGUAUGUUUCUGAUGUUUCUCUCCUAAACUUCAAAUCCACGUGUCAAACACUGUUCUACUUUCACAUAUCAAACACAGUUCCACUUUCACGUUCCUGGCUCGAAUUUAGACAUUUUUAGCUUAUCAGGUUUUCUCUGGAAGACGCGCAGACCAACAUUUGUCAUUCCAACCAAUAGCCACGAUCGAAUGUAGAACCAGAGUUGUCAACUAGACUUGUGACUUUUCAUUCUGCAUCAGCUUUUAAAGUAUAUAUAUAUAUGAACGAAUCUAGAAGUUUGUACCUUGUAAAGUUUUCAGUGAAGGCCGCGGAGAACAUUGUUGUGAUACGGCGUUUUAUUGCCGUUUGAAGGAAAUAGACUCCAAAUAUGCAUGGAAAUAAAAUCGUUAUAAAAUUAUUUUAAAACGGCUGCAUAUUUGUCGAAAUAUACUUUCAUGCCAUUCUGCAUUAGCAUAAAGAAAAUUGAACCAAGCAAUACAGACGACGUUCUUAACUCCUGCAGUAUUCUCUGUAGGAUGAGCCGAACAAAUGUGUCAUUAUACGCUAUUAUAUGAAAAUUUGAAAUACCGAGACACUUAAUUGUUGCGGACGUAAUGUAGUUAUAUUUCUCCAAAACGAAGGGACGCUUUCUUUAAUGGUUUCAUGCAUGUCCUUCUUGAAUGAAAUCAGAACAAUAAAUUAUUUGGCCUUUCGUGCCAUUUCGUCAUCCCGAAAUUGCACUCAUAAUAAGUGUUGUUGAAGCACGUCAACUUGCCGAAAACUUAAAAUCACAAAAUAGGGAUCUAAACAGAAGUGCCACUCGAGUCGGAACCCUUGAUGUAAAUGGGUUCGUGCAUGUCGACCCUCGCAUCUCUGCAGCAUGUUGGCAGCAAGUAAAAAUGGAAGAUUUUAUGGGGUGGUAUAAUAGAGAAUUCGGUAGCCUACACAAAGUGAAAAUCCAGCAAAAUUUUCCUUCUAAAUCAGCAAACAACGAAUGACACGUUUAAAAAGAAGGUAUAUGUGGUCUUAUCUGAUAUAAUACUUUUUGUUUGUGGAAACACCACGUAAUCUCCAUCUUCAUCAGUGCUAAUAAUAUGUGACUUGUUCAAUUAACACGCCUCUUUGUGUACGAAAAAUGUCGCGAUCUGAUGGCUCGUGUCAUUUGAAAGUUAAUUAAACGGUUACAUCAACCACGCCAUUUCAGACGUAGCGAAGAUUGGUCGCUAGGAAUAAGAUUGAUAGGAAACCAACACACAAAGACGGGUAUCUGCAUUAUAAUUCAUUUAAUCCUCCUAGACUAGUAUUAAGAACUCCGUGUGUACACUUAUCAACCGAGUGAAAACAAUUUGUGAGGUAAGUAAUAUUGACAAUGAAUUAGAACAUUUAAGAAACGUUCUAACUCAGAGAUUCCAAGGAUAGCUAGCGCAAAGUUCAUAUGACAAAUGAUCAGAAAGCAAUAGCUAUAAUAUGUUUUCACCCGUUCGAAUUCUUAGCAAUGAAUUUUUUUAAUCCGCAUUCAAUGCGUAUGUACGAUGGCUAUACCCCGUCUUUCUCGGAAAACUGUUGAAAAUAUUGUAAAAAAGUGCCUUAGUUUUGAAGCUUCUGCAUGUUGAGCAGGGUUAUUACAUAACAUUUACUUGCUCACUUUUUCGUACUCUAAAUAGUGCUGCCUUGUUGUUUUAUAUUGAAAAUAAUCCCAGUAAACUUUUAUUCAAUAUUUCCAAGAGUUCGCUAAGAAAGACGGCGUAUAGCGUAUCAUAUAUAUAUAUAGAAUCCUUGCUAAGGAUUCGAACGGGUGAAAACAUAUUGUAAAGUCAGUUGCGGUAAAAUGCUCCGUCUUCCACGGUCGUUCCGACCGCGGUCGCCUUUUAUCUACUCCCAAAAGUACAAGCUUUGCGACACUAUUUAUAAAACUAUACUCACUAGGAGUUUUCGCCAAACAAUGCCAAAAACGCGAUCGUCGAACAAAGAAACCCACGCGCUUUAGGACAAAUUCAAUUCGACAACAAUAGUAUUUUAUCUAAAUAGCAGUUAAAAUAAAGUGUACGGCACCUGAAUUGUUCAAUACCUUGCUUCUGUAUCCAUAAAACAUUUACAUAUAUGCAAAUACUGUAUAUUUACAAAAUCCGCCAUAUUUAUUUACAUUAGAACCCCAUCUUUCGCGGUUCACACGAAAUAUUAACGUCGGUGAUUUUCACUAAUAAUAAGAGGGUAGGAUCAUCCAAUUGUUCAAUCGUUCGAAGCGCGAGGAAACCAUGCUUCCUUAUAUGGCACAAACGUGUCCCCAAAAUAAUUUAUCGAGGCUGUUAUGAUGUCAUAAGAUUCCUCCCGCUCGGAACGAUUUGAACAGGUCACGUGGUACAGAACCCAGACAGCUGAUUGGGUUAGCGAGUGACAACGCCCACUUUAAUCCUACCCUCUUAUUAUUAGCGAAAAUUACCGACGUUGAUAUUUCCUGUGAACCGCGAAAGCAUGGGUUCUAACGUAAAUAAAUAUGGCGGAUUUUCAAAAUAUACAGUAUUUGCAUAUAUGUAAAUGUUUUAUGGAUACAGAAGCAAGAUAUUGAACAGUUCAGGUGCCGUACACUUUAUUUUAACCGCCAUUUAGAUAGAAUACUAUUGUUCUCGAAUUGAAUUUGUCCUAAAGCCCGUGAGAAACCAUUACCUUGAACAAAAAUAUUAAUGGUAAAAUGAACAAAGACCCAUGGGAACGAGGGAAAACAGAUAAAAACCCGGAGAAAUAGGACUUUUCGCCAUUUGCCACGAAGACACACACGUUUGGAUUCCGAAAUUUUGGACUUGGCUUACUACCCGUGUCGAAGCCGAGCAUACAACUUCCCUAUGACUGACGCUAUUGAUCCAUAACCGAUCAACUUCGCUGAUCUUAACAAAGCUGAACUCGUCCGCAAGCAGCACAACGAGACCAGCCAGCUGCACCAGAGCAAUUCCAAGACAACAUCCGCAGUCUCAACUCAGUUAUUUUCAGAGAGGCAUGUAGUUUCCCCUUCUCCUUCCAUGUUAUGGGCUAAACUUGUUGUAUUGCUGGGUUACGGGGACCUACCCUAUGCCGCCCACCUGCACUGUUUGUCAAGAUAUCUUUGUUAAUAAGUGGUUUGUAGUGGUGCGGUACUGCAGCAUGUCUAAUCUAGGCAGAUUGGCGUUGCUUUGUUUUUGCUACAUCGGUUUUUUGAAUUUAUGUCGCCUAUAACCAUCAAGAUGGAUUACGAACUAGAAAAAUACUUAUCUGUAAUAAAAGACUCAAACAAAAGUAAAACCUUAACACGAUUCAGAUUAAGUAACCAUAGCCUUCAGACUGAAACUGGUUGCUACCAUAAUAUAGCCCGAGAAGAACGAUUGUGUAGCCUGUCACACGGAUGAAGUCGAAAAUGAAUUUCAUUUCCUCCUCCCUUGCGAGGCUUACGGUGACAUUCGAGUAAACUUUAUAAACAGUCUAAAAAACGAGCUCACUACUACCGAGACAAACGUAAACGAACCAACUUUAUCAGUUGACAUAAUGAAGUCAACUGAUAGCGACAUAUCGAAAUUUAUUUUUUCGUGUUUGACGAAAGCCUUAAACAACUUGAAGCCGGGAAUGCUGGUAGUCAUUAGUUAAACUCUUCAUCCUGUAAAUAGUAUCUUCUUAUAGUCUACUUCUUAAAUAUUUUUAUAUGUUACACUAAUAGUUAACAUUCAUCGAAGCACGUAAACGAACGUAAAGCCUCAUUACUGAACGAAACAAUCGUCAAAACUGCAGUUCCCUAUUGGCUGAUAGCACUCAAUCCAUUCUCAACCGUAUAAUAGCAAGCCCUUAUUGGAUAAACGUUUGGCAUAAUUUAUUCGCACGAAAGUUGGCAGUGUGUUGGUGAUUUACAUACGUUUGCUUACGUACGGAGCGUAAACGCGAAAUUUGCAUGCAUGAGAUGUUAUAACUCGAGACGUCUCGCUCUUUCCCUGAAAAACUGGCACGCUUGAUGCAUGCCAUUCUUUGCCUAGUAAGCUAAAACUCAGAAUAUCCGCAGAAUGUUAACUGAUAUAACUUUGGAAGUCGACCUGGCCGCUGUUUGUGCACGAAAAUUUAGUUCAUUUUCAAUGGAAUUUGAUGACUGGAUCGACAGUCUCGUGCCAUAUCAUAUGCUGUAAAGUAAACACAAUUCUCAAUGGGCAAAAUUGCAACAUAUGUCUAUACUCUGUCAUUGCGCUACUCAAUACAGUAUGUUUCGUAAAUAUUUCGAUUCCCAAAGUCAAAGGCAAACAUAUUUGUGAAGAGUUUAAAUUCGUUCAUGAAUCAAUCAUGACAUUACGAGAUUUAUAGUGAGGACAUGUACAUAUCAUGUACAUUGAAGCAUGCAUAUAAACACGGCGAGCCAGAGUGCAACGAUUUUAAUUUAGAAUCGAUAAAGAAAAUGGAUCGCUAGAAAAUUUUUAUGGCCAGUCUGUUUUUGAGAUUUGACCUUGAAGGCUGAACGACUAAUUAAUGUAUUCUCUUGUGACUCUUAUAGGGCUCUUUCCAUUUAAUGGCCUGGCCGAUCAGACCCGAAUUUUUGUCUCUGUAUCAAUGGAAAGAUUUGGUCUAUGUUUCUCAAAUAUCUAGCGAAAAUGGUCCUCAUUCUAAUUUUAUCUAAAUUUUCCGAUCAGAUAGGUCCGAAGCCCAAACAUUUUGUAUUCCAUUCAACAAUUGACCGUUCUGACCGGUCUGGCCGUGUUAGUGGAAAGCGCCCAAAGUGUCUGGAGAAGUUUUAAGAUUCAAACAUUUUCUUUGCAAAUAGUUGGACACAUGUCUGCACAAGAUUGAAAACUUUGUAUAUCCAGACAUAUUUUCGCACGAUGCGCUAGUACGUUAGGCAAUCUCUAGACUCUAUAGUGAUCUACACGACUACACAUGUCGACAUAGCUUCAAAUCGAAAUUGUGAUUAACUGACACUGACAUGAUAAAGUCUUUAGAAUUCGCACAUUUUACAAAAAAUAUGCAUAUCUAUGGUCUCAUUUACACAUAUUAUAUGUGAAGCCAAUCAGAAUUCAAUUUCUACGUUUGGAAAUUAACAUAACUGAAGCCCCGUUUACACUACGCUCAAUUUUUGUUACGGCACGGAUAAAAUUGGUACCCGUACCACUUUUUUGGUUCUUGGACUACCUAUUUAGGUAGUCCAAGAACCAAAAAGUGGUACGGUACCAAAAAUUGAGCGUAGUGUAAACGGGGCUUAGCUAAAUAGGUAGUCCAAGAACCAAAAAAGUGGUACGGGUACCAAUUUCAUCCGUGCCGUACCAAAAAUUGAGCGUAGUGUAAACGGUCUUGAAUAUACGUUCGUUUACGUGCUUCGAUGAAUGUUAACUGUUGUUACGUUAUAGUUAAAGUGGAAGUCAAGUCUGUAUGUAAACAAACGGUUUGUUUACAUUUUGAACUGCUGUAUUUUUUAAAAUAUGAUGUGCUGUCUGAAUAUCUAACACUAUUUUGGUUCGCUAUACUUCUAAAUGAAUAUGAAAUAGAGUUUAUGUUCAGAAAAAUUCGAAACAUUCGAAAUUUGGGCAAUAUUUACAUCAGAGGGUCCCCACAUUGUUUUGAGCAGAACCGAUGCGCAGAACAGACUUGACUUCCACUUUAAGCUUUAGCAAGCUUUAGCGAUUAUCAAUUACAAAAAUUAUAGGAUGUGAAAAAUAGGUACUCAGCGCGUACAUGUUACUAUCACUAUUUACACAGCUACGGAGAUUGUGUUUUUUAAUUCUUCAAUCAAUUUGAAGAAACGAAAAGGCGAUUCCUUAUACACGCUAUAAACGAGAAAAACGUACGGAAUUUCGUAAUAGUGAAGAACAUUAAAAUGCGCCUAUGCAAAAUACUAGCUGUUUUUUUCAUAUUGUAUAACAUUACAAAAGUAAUUUGAUUCCAAAUUAUUUUUUCAAUGCAAUAUUAUUAUUGGGUACUCACAGCCUACGUUUGAAAAAGAACAAUUUAUUACCGGUAUAAUUUUUGUUUUAUUAUCUAAAUGUUACCCAAAUUAUUUUGUGAGUGCUAAAAUAUGUUUCUGCGGUUCCUAAGUGCCGGUCAUUCAGUAAACAUAUUGUUUCCCUUUGGACUGACUAACUGGGAUAAUGCUUGUCACGAAUAUAUUUUCUUCGCAUCGAAAUGAUAUGAAUUAGCUUCAAAACAACUUUAUAGAAAUAAUGUUUCGGAAUAUCACUUUCAAAGUUUAAGCAGCCAGUAUAUUUUGAUUUCAGUAGCUUAGUUAACGACUGCGAUCGUUAUUAUGACGAAAGAAUAAGAAUACUCUGUGUCUAACAGAUAAACGAAGAUGAUUUACCAUAUCACUUACUAUUUGUUAAAUAGUACGAAUAUUUUUUAAAGCCAGACAAUCAACCCGCCAGGCUCUUAUAAUGUGAUGCGCCAGACAGAAUACUCGAGAAAUAUAUUCAACUGUUUUGAAAACAUUACCAGACAACAGGGAAGUCUGCUCAAAAUUAAAUAUUCAGGAUAAAUGGCGACAACUGCCGAAAGUAACGUGUUUACCAAUUGUGACGUGCUUCCAAGUAUGACGCCCGUAGUGAGGUCCAAUACAAUCAAGCAAGCAAUCAAGCAAGCAAUAAAACGACAAGAUGACAUAGUGGAUAUGAGAUAGUAACAAAAAUUGAACUCCCCUUGGAUGCAAUUUAUGAAAGUUACCCCAUACGAUAUCUUACUAACCCCUUUAGGACAUUGCUUUUUCCCCUUUGGAUAUCACGAAAAAACCAAAUUUUUUGCCACUUGUUUAAAAACUCUCUCUAACUACCCCGCAGGAAAGGUUAGGAUAAAAAACCCCUCCUCCUCCAUUGGUGUGGGGGAGCGUGGACAUGGUAAAUGGAAUGGUCCAUUUAGAACGAACACUGUACAUUUUAAAGCUUAAUUUUUGUUAGCUCCGAGUUAUUUUUAUAUUUUUGAGUGCAGCACUACAAAAUAUAGUUUUGCAUGCAACAUUCCAGGGGCGACGCUAAAAGGGUUGUGUUGGGGGAUGGAACACCCCCUCCCCAGUCGUCAGGUAGUCGGCAAAUUUUUGAAUCGCAGUCGGCAAAUUGUUUUCGUAGUCGGCAAAACAUGAAUUGGAUAGAAAGGGAAAAACUAAGACAUAUGAGCGAACAGAUUAGAAACUAAUAAUUUUAUCUAAAACUUGGAAAAAUUUACGAAAACAUUCAGGAAAAAUUAAACGAACAACAACGGUACGUUAAGCAAAAAGAAAAUGAGGAUAUAAUAUUUGGAAAAGAGCGGCGCAGCAAAUUUCGAAACUGUAGACAGUCAGUCGCAUCAUUGAUCUCGUUCCCAGAUCGCGCAUUCAAAACCAACCGAUUGCCUGUCGUAGAAAAUCACACGGAAAGCUGGCUAAAGAAAGUAAUUGUUUAUUUAUCGAUCACAUAGUAUCUCUUCCACCUCGUGCUAGAAAUGUGGACGACAUUCUUCUCCAAGCACUUUCGGACUUUCAAAAUGGUUUUUUCUGGUUUUAAAUUUAUUUUACUUGUAUGUUCAUAAGAUUUUUAAAUUUAGAUAUAGGUAAUGAGAACCAUAUUGAUGUCCCUGCGGCUGCGUCCCUGACAGUUUUACAGCAAUUUUGCAUUGUUCUGGUAUAAAAUUCACCCCUAUACUUUUUAUUCAAUGCAAGGAAUUAUUAAAUGAGUUUGAUAUAUAAUGUAUUCAAUAAAUAAUUAAGCUAAGAAAGCGACGUUUUUGUCAACAAGGACAUCAGAUUGCCGAGGGGGGGGGGGUUGGAUUAAAAAUUGUGCUUGUGCCUGCGGCAAUCAUCAACACAUACGAGAAAGCAUAAGAAUUUUCAAGUUUUUUGCUUCCUUUCCAUACCAUUCUUCUAUACCAAUUUUCGGCUGACGUUCGUGUUGAAAAAACAUCACUUCCUUAAGCUCACUGUUAUGCUGAUGAGCUCCGAACAUUAUCAGGACUUGUCAUUGUUUAUGACUGGGAUUGAGGUGGGCACUAAGGAGUUGAAAAUGGAUAGCUCAGCAAAAUUUUAUGUCAGGAAAAGGUUACUAGGUAAAAGCUAAGCAGUGGGUAGAGUAAAAAUCGCCAUAUUCAAAGAUAUUUAUUAUGUAUUUGGGAAAAGCGGCUGAUAUAGUUGCAUUUACUGCAUGCAUAGCUUAACGGAACAUUGAUAAAAACAAGAAAAUAUUGUUUUACCUCCUGCGUUUCGUCCGACAAAGUUCCCACUAAGUCUAACCGUAAAAGUCCAGAAGUCUAGUGUAACGAUCCAAAGCUCUUUAAAUUAUAUAAACUUGUUUUUUUACUAGACGUACAAAACUAUUUUAAUGUCUGCAGGUGUGACGUCAUAAUUUGCGACAUCAAGAAUUAUCUGUAAGCCAGCAACUAAUCAAAACAUAAAUUGUAUAAGAAAUGCGCAAUAAUUAACAAUUAUUGGAUGAGGUUUUUGUGAUAUGCGGAAUUAUCAAAGUCGCGUCGAGGUAAGUGUUUUCAGCCGAGCCGAAGGCGAGGCUGAUAACGCUUACCGAGACCUUGAUAAUUUUGCAUAUCGCAAAAACCGAAUUCAAUAAUAACUGUUUUAUUAUACAUUUGUUUGUGUUAAAUAGAUACCGCUUGCUAAUCAUCGCAAGCUCAUUUGCAGAUAACUCAGUUAUCUGCUAGCAGAUAACUGAAUUUUCUGUAGGUUGCGUGAUUGCGCGAUUUGACUGUAAGCUCUUAGCCAAUCAAAUUGCUUUUACAAACUACAAUGUAUAAUAAUAAUUCUUAUUUAACUGUUUUCUUAUUUUAGAAAUUAUUUGUUCGGCCUGGAAAGAAGUUAGAUGUACUCCCUCUAAAAAUAUCCGCGUACAUGACGUCAUAUAUGGUCACAUAGUUGGACGCAAUGAAUGUAAUACGCAGCCUACAAAUAACUGUACCGCCCCAAAUGGAUUCUGUGAAGUCGCUGAAAAGGUAGAGGGAAGACCGGUUUCAGAAUGGUUACGUUCAAGCGAUACUAUAUCUCCUCCUCCAUGUGGAGGGAAGGAUAUAUACAUCAUUGUCAAUUAUACAUGUGUGGAGAUCCUGAGAUUGUCAG